CUUUACCAAGUGCCAGGCACUCUUCACGUGCAUUGUCUCGGGCAACCUGUAAACAGCCCAAGAGUUAGAUAAAAUUGCUGCCUCAUUCUACUGAGAAAAAGUUUGGUUUACCAUGGUUCAGCCUGGAGAUCCAGGAGUGAACAAGAUGAUGAAUGAUUGACAGGAGAGACAACAAGUUCCUGGCCUGCGUUUCACCCCAGUGGCCGAUGCAUCUGAAAUGCCUGCAGUUCUCAGCUCUUGAACAGAACUGAGGAGUCUUGAAAGAGGCCAUGGCAUGCCCUGUGGGGUCUCCAGGCAGCUUUGAUAGGCCCAGUUGGCAUUUGCUAUAAAAACUUAUUAAAUCCAGGCCUUUCUUCUGCAACUGAGACUCCAGAACAGCUGCCCCUGACAAACAAUAAAGAAGAGCUAUCGAAGUCACAUCAUGGGCUGGAACCAGAAAAGAAAAUAAUAAUAAAAAAAA
rnacentral:lncRNA from 1 species